GCCUUAGCUCAGUAGGUUAGAGCGCUUGAUUGUGGAUCAAGAGGUCGUAGGUUCGAAUCCCACAGGC
rnacentral:tRNA from 1 species